GACGAACGCUGGCGGCGUGCUUAACACAUGCAAGUCGAACGGUAAGGCCCUUCGGGGUACACGAGUGGCGAACGGGUGAGUAACACGUGGGUGAUCUGCCCUGCACUUCGGGAUAAGCCUGGGAAACUGGGUCUAAUACCGGAUAGGACCACUGCCUGCAUGGGUGGUGGUGGAAAGCUUUUGCGGUGGGGGAUGGGUCCGCGGCCUAUCAGCUUGUUGGUGGGGUGAUGGCCUACCAAGGCGACGACGGGUAGCCGGCCUGAGAGGGUGACUGGCCACACUGGGACUGAGAUACGGCCCAGACUCCUACGGGAGGCAGCAGUGGGGAAUAUUGCACAAUGGGCGCAAGCCUGAUGCAGCGACGCCGCGUGAGGGAUGACGGCCUUCGGGUUGUAAACCUCUUUCAGCACCGACGAAGCGCAAGUGACGGUAGGUGCAGAAGAAGGACCGGCCAACUACGUGCCAGCCGCCGCCGUAA
rnacentral:rRNA from 1 species